rnacentral:rRNA from 1 species
AGCAAACAGGAUUAGAUACCUGGUAGUCACGCUGUAAACGAUGUCGAUUUGGAGUUUGUUGCCUAGAGUGAUGGGCUCCGAAGCUAACGCGAUAAAUCGACCGCUGGGGAGUACGGCCGCAAGGUUAAAACUCAAAUGAAUUGACGGGGGCCCGCACAAGCGGUGGAGCAUGUGGUUUAAUUCGAUGCAACGCGAAGAACCUUACCUGGUCUUGACAUCCAUAGAAUUCUGCAGAGAUGUGGGAGUGCCUUCGGGAACUAUGAGACAGGUGCUGCAUGGCUGUCGUCAGCUCGUGUUGUGAAAUGUUGGGUUAAGUCCCGCAACGAGCGCAACCCUUAUUCUUCGUUGCCAGCGAUUUGGUCGGGAACUCAAAGGAGACUGCCGUUGAUAAAGCGGAGGAAGGUGGGGACGACGUCAAGUCAUCAUGGCCCUUACGACCAGGGCUACACACGUGCUACAAUGGCGUAUACAAAGGGAAGCGAAGGUGCGAGCUGGAGCGGAUCUCAUAAAGUACGUCUAAGUUCGGAUUGGAGUCUGCAACUCGACUCCAUGAAGUCGGAAUCGCUAGUAAUCGUAGAUCAGAAUGCUACGGUGAAUACGUUCCCGGGCCUUGUACACACCGCCCGUCACACCAUGGGAGUGGGUUGCACCAGAAGUAGAUAGCUUAACCGCGAGGGGGGCGUUUACCACGGUGUGAUUCAUGACUGGGGUGAAGUCGUAACAAGGUAACCA